rnacentral:rRNA from 1 species
GACGUAGGGCGCGAGCGUUGUCCGGAUUUAUUGGGCGUAAAGAGCUCGUAGGCGGCUUGUCGCGUCGACUGUGAAAUCCCGCGGCUCAACUGCGGGUCUGCAGCCGAUACGGGCAGGCUAGAGUUCGGUAGGGGAGACUGGAAUUCCUGGUGUAGCGGUGAAAUGCGCAGAUAUCAGGAGGAACACCGGUGGCGAAGGCGGGUCUCUGGGCCGAUACUGACGCUCAGGCACGAAAGCGUGGGGAGCAAACAGG